AGUAACGGCGAGUGAAGCGGCAACAGCUCAAAUUUGAAAUCUGGCGCAAGCCCGAGUUGUAAUUUGUAGAGGAUGUUUAUGGCGAAGUGCAUUAAGAGUUAAAUGGGGAGGGAAGAAAUAGGGGGUGAGUGAAAAGUAAGUUUGGAUGUCUGGAUUAUUGGAAACUCCUUCGACGAGUCGAGUUGUUUGGGA
rnacentral:rRNA from 1 species